GUUUCUAUCGAAACCAAGAUAGCUGAUGGAGAGACAAGGGCUCGAAUAUAUAGAGAAGAAGAGAAAUAAGGCUUUACCUCAGGUAGCUUCUCGAGAAGUUGUCUCUGCUUAUCUAAUUGUGUUUCCUCAUAAAAGGUCUUGAGGUAAUCGGGAUGUUGGACAAGGUCCUUUCGCGGAGGUAGAUCAAGAAUGAGGAUGAGAGUUGUUGGACUGCUUUGAAUAACUUCAAUUAAGAAGUUUGGUGCAUCAGUUGAAGGUCUCAAAUAUACGGAAAGGCUUGUAAUAUUCAAUGCUCCGCCGGUGGGUAAGUUGCAGUGAACCCAACUACCAAGUAUGAAAUCAACCUGAGAAGAGGAAUUUCCAGAUCUGACAUAGAGAGAAGCAUGAGCAGUAGCAGAUUCAUUCUCAAAAUACUGCACAUGAGAAGGCAGAGUACAAGGAAGUAGAGACUCUCCAAGACGAUUCUCCACAGUCGAUACAAGUUCCACCAUUAACUCUCUAUGCGGAACAGAUGCAUAAGGAAAUUCCUUAAAUUUCGAUUCAUGAUGUUCCAUGGAAGUUGAUGACGACGAGCAACAGAAGCGUUUUCCGACGGAAAAAGAACGAGAGGAAGAAGAGGGGAGUGAUUGUGUGAGAAUUGAAGUGUGAAAUUUGGCAGAGGAGAGUGGAA
rnacentral:misc_RNA from 1 species